rnacentral:rRNA from 1 species
CUUGUGGGGUGACGGCGUGCCUAUCGAAAAAUGAGUCUGCGAGUCAGUGGCAUGUGGCGAGCAUAACCCGUGUGGGGUAUGCGUAGCGAAGGCGAGUCUUAAAAGGCGUUUGAGUCGCGUGUCCUGGACCCGAAGCGGGAUGAUCUAGCCCUGAGCAGGUUGAAGCGCGGGUAAGACCGUGUGGAGGACCGAACCCACCUGGGUUGAAAACCGGGGGGAUGACUUGGGGCUAGGGGUGAAAGGCCAAUCAAAUUCCGUGAUAGCUGGUUCUCUCCGAAAUGCAUUUAGGUGCAGCGUCGGAUCGAUUACAUCCGGGGGGUAGAGCGACUGGAUGCUUGCGGGCCCAUAUCGGGUACCAACAGCAACCAAACUCCGAAUACCCGUGAUGCGUAUCCCGGCAGUGAGUCGGCGGGGGAUAAGCUCCGUCGUCGAAAGGGAAACAGCCCAGAUCGUCGUCUAAGGUCCCCAAGCGUGUGCUAAGUGGGAAAGGAUGUGGAGUCGCAUAGACAGCCAGGAGGUUGGCUCAGAAGCAGCCACCCUUGAAAGAGUGCGUAACAGCUCACUGGUCUAGUGGUUCCGCGCCGACAAUGUAGCGGGGCUCAAGCACACCACCGAAGACGCGGCAGUAGCUUUGCUACUGGGUAGGAGAGCGUCCCAUGCGGGGCGAAGCGGCGGCGCAAGCCCGCCGUGGACCGCAUGGGAGUGAGAAUGCAGACAUGAGUAGCGAAAGACGGGUGAAGAUCCCGUCCGCUGGACGACCAAGGGUUCCAGGGCCACGUUCAUCGUCCCUGGGUGAGUCGGGUCCUAAGGCGAGGCCGACAGGCGUAGUCGAAUGGACGAACGGGUCGAUAUUCCCGUACCGGCAUGCAACCGGCAAAACCGAAUCCGCGAGUACUAACCUCCGGGUCCGGGCUCACGUCUCCUUCGGGAGCCGGAUGCCCUGGCCUGUUGGGACCGUAACGGUAGUAGGUCAGCGCGGGAGUGACGCAGAAGGGUAGCCGGCCGCGGAGGUGGUCUUCCGUGGUCAAGCACGCAGCCCGUCCCACAGGCAAAUCCGUGGGGCGCGUGGGCGAGGUGCGAUGAUGGGCGCCGCAGGGCGCGAUAUCCGGUGAUCCCGGCUGCCGAGAAAAGCUUCGGCGUGAGGCGGCAUGCCGCCCGUACCCCAAACCGACACUGGUGGUCAGGUAGAGAAUACCAAAGCGAUCGAGCGAAUCCUGGUCAAGGAACUCGGCAAAUCACUCCCGUUCCUUCGGUUUAAGGGAGACCCCCGAUGGUGAAGCGGCUUGCCCGCGGAGCUUUUGGGGGUGGCACAGACCAGGGGGUAGCGACUGUUUACCAAAAACACAGGAGCGUGCGAAGGCGCAAGCCGCUGUAUACGCUCUGACGCCUGCCCGGUGCCGGAAGGUUAAGAGGAUCCGUCAGGCCUCGGCCGAAGCGGUGAAUUCAAGCCCCGGUAAACGGCGGUGGUAACUAUAACCAUCCUAAGGUAGCGAAAUUCCUUGUCGGGUAAGUUCCGACCUGCACGAAUGGCGUAACGACUUCCCCACUGUCUCGACCAGGAGCUCGGCGAAAUUGCAGUACGAGUAAAGAUGCUCGUUAAGCGCAGAAGGACGAAAAGACCCCGGGACCUUUACUAUACCUUGGUAUUGGCAUUCGGUGUGGAUUGUGUAGCAUAGGCGGAAGGCUUCGAAGCCACGGCGCCAGCCGCGGUGGAGCCGCAAGGUGAAAUACCGCUCUGUUCGCAUUGGAUGUCUAACCUCGACCAGUCAUCCUGGUCAGGGACAGUGCCUGGCGGGUAGUUUAACUGGGGCGGUUGCCUCCCAAAGAGUAACGGAGGCGCUCAAAGGUUCCCUCAGCCCGGUUGGCAAUCGGGUGGCGAGUGUAAGUGCACAAGGGAGCUUGACUGCGAGACUGACGGGUCGAGCAGGGACGAAAGUCGGAACUAGUGAUCCGGUGCCGGUGUACGGACGCGGCAUCGCUCAACGGAUAAAAGGUACCCCGGGGAUAACAGGCUGAUCAUUCCCAAGAGUCCAUAUCGACGGGAUGGUUUGGCACCUCGAUGUCGGCUCGUCGCAUCCUGGGGCUGGAGCAGGUCCCAAGGGUUCGGCUGUUCGCCGAUUAAAGCGGCACGCGAGCUGGGUUCAGAACGUCGUGAGACAGUUUGGUCUCUAUCCUCUGCGCUCGUCGGAAUGUUGAGGAGGCCUGCCCAUAGUACGAGAGGACCUGGGUGGACGAACCUCUGGUAUGCCGGUUGUCACGCCAGUGGCACGGCCGGUUGGCUACGUUCGGAAGGGAUAACCGCUGAAAGCAUCUAAGCGGGAAGCCUGCUCCAAGAUAAGCAUUCCAUAGGACUACGGGUCCUUGAAGUCCCCAUGCAGAACACGUGGUUGAUAGGCCGGACGUGGAAGCCCCGCGAGGGGUGGAGCCGACCGGUACUAACGGACGAAAGGCAACACAAU